rnacentral:rRNA from 1 species
CAGGGGGAUAGCAGUUGGAAACGACUGGUAAUACCGCAUAUCUUAGAGAGACCGCAUGAUCUUUUUAAGAAAACGUUAGUGGUGCAAGAUGGGCCCGCGUCCGAUUAGAUAGUUGGUGGGGUAACGGCCUACCAAGUCGACGAUCAUUAGCCGACCUGAGAGGGCGACCGGCCACAUUGGGACUGAGACACGGCCCAAACUCCUACGGGAGGCAGCAGUGGGGAAUAUUGCACAAUGGGCGAAAGCCUGAUGCAGCGACGCCGCGUGAGUGAGGAAGUAUUUCGGUAUGUAAAGCUCUAUCAGCAGGGAAGAAAGAAAUGACGGUACCUGAGUAAGAAGCUCCGGCUAAAUACGUGCCAGCAGCCGCGGUAAUACGUAUGGAGCAAGCGUUAUCCGGAUUUACUGGGUGUAAAGGGAGCGUAGGCGGCAGAGCAAGUCUGAUGUGAAAGCCCGGGGCUCAACCCCGGUAGUGCAUUGGAAACUGUUCAGCUCGAGUGUCGGAGGGGUAAGCGGAAUUCCUGGUGUAGCGGUGAAAUGCGUAGAUAUCAGGAAGAACACCGGAGGCGAAGGCGGCUUACUGGACGAUUACUGACGCUGAGGCUCGAAAGCGUGGGGAGCGAACAGGAUUAGAUACCCUGGUAGUCCACGCUGUAAACGAUGAAUACUAGGUGUCGGUACCCGAAGGGUAUCGGUGCCGUCGCAAACGCAUUAAGUAUUCCACCUGGGGAGUACGUUCGCAAGAAUGAAACUCAAAGGAAUUGACGGC